rnacentral:lncRNA from 1 species
UAUUUUAAUUGGGUUGAUCUAAUUUUGAUUUGAUUUGGUUUGGAAAACCAAAUUAAAACAAGUCAUAAGACAGAAUCCUAGUAAGACUAGGAUUCCACCUUGCGCCACAUAAGCCUUCUCCACGCCCUCUCUCUUAUUCAACGCCAAUCUCCACUUAUUUUGUGUGACAAAAGCCCUCUCCCACAUUCACAAAAGGUCUCCUCUCUUCUUUCUUACAUGGAAGGUGGUUUGGAUCAAAUCUAAAAGGAAUAAGUUUGGAUUUCGAAUUCUAUGAGAUAGAGUUUUAGAAAUCCAAAACUCUUUUAAUUUUGCACCAAAUUUAUCCAAAUUUUUUUUGGAAUUUUUGUGGAUUUUAGGGUA